GCUACCGACCUCUCGCUUUUACAAAGUAUUUUUCAUGGGGUUUUUUUUGGCUCUUUAACCCAAUAGGAAAGCUGUAUAUGACCUUUUCAUUUUGGACUGUUAACAUUCAAAUUAUGAUGGACUUGUUUCCUUGUUUAUGUGAAUUACAACAUCAUUAGCUGCAACAUCUGCCUGUUCUGUAAAACUGGUAGCUCAACGACAGCAUCCUGAGGGCAAUUAAGUGACAAAUAUUGUGCAAGACCAGCACUAUUACAACCCUGUCAAUUUCCACUUCUUAAAAUGUUUACUGCCAAUUAUCACACAUAAAGCAAGAAAUAAUAUUCUGUACUAAUACUUCUGUACUACCCAAUACACAGUGAAUAAAUAUUAUCUGAAAGUCGGGUUAUUGUUGUUUAUCAGCACAAUACAAAAAGAUUCAUGUUAGACAUAUCCCAGUUAAGACUAGAAUAUCAUGAUUUAUGUAAAUUUACCUCAAUAAUAUGAAUGUUGAGGUUAAGAUUGUACAGUGAUAUUUAUUAUGUAAGUUUAACUGAUUAAAGUUUAUGACUGCACUGCAAUAUUAUUUAUUAUUUAGAUUUACAUAAUUAUAAUAUUUAGGGUCAGACUCUACAGUAUUAAGAUUAAGAAAUCAAAUAUUCUAUGAAAUGUAAAUACACUGAACUCAUUUGGAUAUAGUUAAGUGAGACUCUACAAUAUUCUUUGACACAAAUCUAUCUAAAUCAAAAUUUUAAUCAUUUUUACUCCAAACAUUUACUGGACUGAUUUAAACAUUAAAAUCACUCCUUUCUAAUCCUCUGCUGUACGUUCAAACCUGAGGCCUUAAAUAGAAACACACAAGUAUCUGAUUGAAGGAAAUUCUGCAGAGUCCUGGUUCCAGAACAUGAUGAUAGAAUUAUAGACAAAGUUUAACAAAAGCUGCCUGAGAGUUUACAGGUUUUUAUGUUGGAUUUCUUCAGUAGUUUAAUGAGCGUUAUCAGCAAUAAUCAAGUGUUCAUUUGAUGAACUUGAUUUCCUAAAACAUACAGAAUUGGAGCUCAUAUCUUUGGCAGCUGUAAAGUUUCUGCUCCUUCAAAGUUCACAACACAAUGAAUGAAUUCCUAAAACACUCUCAAUGCUGGAGAGCGUUUGUGAUGCUGAAGCAGUGACCAGUUUUUCUGUUUCUUCUCUGGAGAUGCACAAUGAGGGACGUCUGCAGCGACUGAGAAAGAGUCUCACCACAUCCUGACAUGAGGAAAAAGACUUUAUUGAAGACUACAAUGAGAAAAACUAUCAGACAGCAGACGGCAUGCAUUCAAGUCUGUAGCUGCUGAAUUCAUGGAUGAAUCAUCUGGCACUAGAGAGGAAGACCAUCAAACGUCCACGUCAGCUGAUGGAGGUCCAAGAGUCUCACCAAAGAAACAACCUACAGAGUGAAGACCUCGAAUCUUGAUUGGACGGCCUCCUAUUCAGCCACGUGUGUGAACAAAUGCCUCUAAGCUGAUUUGUUUUCUAAAAUAAAUCUAGUUUGUGUCCUAA